GGGCUUGUUUGGAUUUGACAGCGGGCAGAAAUGGUAUGUAAGCAUGCAGUGCGUCGGUGAUUAGCACUUAAAUCACAGUUACCGAACAAUUAUCUGGCGAAAACAACUACGCUCUCGCUGCUUAAUCGAAGUACAGUAGAUUAACUUUAUUUCCGCACAAGGUGUGGAAACGAGACAUCACUCGGAAGCUGUUGCUCCGAAGCAUUCCGGCCCAGUGGUGCAGUCAAAUCGGGGAUAGUCGCAGUCCGGCCUUGGGGCUACGAUGAAACUUUAAAGGCUAAGGCGCAAGUGGGUGGCUCUGGUCUUGCUUACGCACAAAAACCGAAGGCAGAGAUAAGCAUGUAGAAAGCGUAUGGUUUCCUCGUUUGGACGAGGGUUCGACUCCCUCCAGGUCCACAA
rfam:Bacteroides sp. CAG:462 genomic scaffold, scf322